UAUCAUACAACUAAAUAACUUAAUUUUGUGGAUUUUUUAAAAAAAUUAUUUAUUCAAAUUUUCUGAUAUUUCAUCAAAUAGAUUGUUCAUUUCUUUAGUUAGUAACUCUAUGCCUUCCUCUAUCCCAAUAAUUCUUAAAUUUGGUCUUUUUAUGUUAUCCCAUAAUUCUUGAAUAUUCUGCUCAUGGUUUCUUACCAUCUUCACUGUAUGGUCAAUUUUAUUUUCAAGAUUAUAUAUUUUGUCUUCAUUGUCUGAGAUUCUGUCUUCCAAGUGAUCUAAUCUGUUGGUGGUGCCUUUUAUUAAGUUUUAAAUUUGGUUUAUUAUUUCCUUCAUUUCAAGGAUUUCUAUUUUUGGGUUUGUUUUAGAAUCUAUAUCUCCUUAUUGAAAUAAUCUUUGCUGCCUGUGUUUGCUCUCUUAUAUCAUCCUUUAAUUCACAGAACAUUUUAAUUAUAUACAUCCUGAAGUCCUUCUCUGUAAUUUCUUUUGCUGUGCUGGCCAUGGAUUCUAAUAAUGUAGUAUCUUGGUUUGUUUGGGGCACUUUCUUCUCUCUCUCUCUCUCUCUCUUUUUUUUUUCAUGUUGUUCAUGUGUCUUCCCUUCUAGCACUGCAGAUCCAAGGUGUUACAGUUUUUACCUUAUAAGCUUAUAGUGUCCCUGUGGGGUUCCAAUACCUCGCCUUUAAGGGGGAAGAACACUAUUAACAGAUCCCAAUGCAAACAAUAUACAGCCUUAAACCAAAUAGCUCCUAUUAAGAUGUUUACGGUUUUGUCACAAUAUACAGAAAUAGUAAGUUCACGUUUUAGCUACAAUAUAAACAGUAGGUUUACAAAAGGGUCUACCGUUUCUGGUGGUGGACAAAGAGAGAACUGGGGGUGCUGUAUAGGAUGAGAUGUUAAGGGGGUAAGAGGUGAGGACAUAGAGUUAUUAGGAAGCAUGAAAGAGGAAUCUAAAGAAGUUGGCUAGCAGUAGAAGAGAGAAAGUGAUUUGGGGGAGACAAGUAAGUGGGAAGACAAUAGAGAGAAUACAACAAAUAAACAUAAAAAUUAAGAAAAACAAAAUGUAAAAAUAGGAGAUAAAAGAAUAUGCAAUACAACUGUAAUAUACUAUUCAGACAUCCCAGUCCAUGUGAGGGUGGGAGAAGAGAGAAAAGAAAAAAAAAAAAAAACCUUGAAGGAAAAUUCAAGGAUUGUUUCUGUUGGAGUUCAGUUAUAUUUCCUGCUUCCCUUCUCAUCCAAUACGUGGGGUUGUCUAUUGUUUGCUGGUAUCUCCACCCUCAGGAUGGCAAAGGUUUUUAGGGUGGGAGGGUUGGUCUUGGGGGUGGAACUCCUGGAAGUGGUGUGUAGCACUUGCUGGUCCCCAAUGGGAGACUGUACCCCAAGGAUCUCCUUUGGGGCCAGCUCUUGUGAUGUGGAUACCUGGUCUUAUCUCCUUAUAUGACCUGUAGACCUCACAGUUCCUGGUCUCUAAUUUCAUCUCUAAACUGUAUCUCACUCACCCCCUCCCUUUCUCCUUCCCAGUUAGGACCUCUCACUCCCAAGGUCUUGUGGGCUGCGUUCUUGGGGCUGUGCACCUGCGGAGAGCUGUUUUGUAUCUGGCAGAUCAGAACUAGGCCUUGGGAGCUGAGGACCAGCCAUGUAGCCUCAGGCACUGUGCUGAGUUAGUGGCUGCAGGGGAGAGGGGGGAGUUGGGGACUAUAGGUACCUUGGUAUUGUUUUUAGCUCCCAGCUGGUGUCCUAAGCUGGAAGUUGCCCCAACUAAAGAGGGCAACAAAGGUAUUCCAAGAUGGAGGUGGCUGCUUUCAGAGAUGGGGUGUCUGGCAGGCAGUGGUGUUGGGUGGCACAUUCAGAAAAGUAGCUUGGUGGAGUGCAGUUUUGUGGCUGGGGGGUGUCUCCAGACCCUGUCCGGUAUCCCCAGGUGCAGGUGACUAUGGCAGCAGUUGCAGUGUCCCAAGAUGGAGGCAAGGGUGGAGCCCCACAUUGGUAGAUGGAGGUCCACACGGGAGCGGAGGCCAGGGGUCCUGCACUGGUGCUGAUGCUGGGGGUCCUAUGUGGCCCAGCAGCCAGGAGUCCUGCAUUGAUAUUGAGGCCAGGGCAUCUGUGUGGACACAGCUGCCAGGAUUCUUGCAUUGGAGCAGCUGUUGGGGGUCCUCUAAUAACUCUCAAAGAAACAGUAUUCCCACCAAUUUUGUGGUUUUUAAAACUAUAAUUAAUCUUAUUUUUAUUUAAGCAAAUCUAGAAGUUAAAAAAAAUCACUUAAGCAGGGAUUUGGGUUGGAUAACAAUGACAAUUUAUGACCUUUGUUAAAAAAACAAAACAAAACAAAAAACGAUUGACAUAAAGCCAGUCACGGGAAAAUAGCAUAUCAUAGUAAAUUCAGAGCAUGGGUUCUAGGGCCACAUCUAGGUUUGAAUCCAUGUUCCUAAUGACUUGCUUUUUUAAAUCUCGGUGACCACGAGCAGAUCACCUAACUCUUCAGGAUCUUGGGAGGUACAAUGGGGAAAAGAGGUUUGCUAUGUGGACUUAAAUACUUCAAUCCAUUCAAGGGCUUAAAGUGAUACCUCCUGAAUAUAUAGGAACUCUUAAUUUGAUUUUUCUUCUCUUUGUAUUUGUGACUUUUUAAUAUCUUCUCAUAGUCCUUGUUUAAAAAUUUUUGUUUUCACAGAUCUGUGAUGGAGAGGAGAUACAGUUGCUAUCCUCAUUAGAGAGGCUGCAUGCAUCCCUUGAUGCACAGCUGCCAUGGGAAAAUGGGGAAUCACUUCACCAGCCAGUGUUGCUGAGGAAUCAAGUGUCCAUACAAAUAUCAAGUAAUCGGCUCUUUUGUAUCCACAGUGUUGCACUCUCCAGUUGAGACUGACGUUUAGUGAAUUCAAGAUGAAAAGAUGCCUUAUGUUUGUUCUCCAGAUCACAGAUUCACAUUUUCCUGUGCAAGUUCUGCUUUUUACUGAUACAAAGAUAAUAUCGUAUGCCUUAAUCCUGUACAGAUGACUAUAUGAAGUAUUGAACUUUUUUUCCUUUGUAAGCUGAGUUGAGGCGCAUGGAAAAGGAUAAAAAGAAGACAAUGUGGAGAAGCAGCAGGCUUGCAGCCCAGCAAACAGAACUUGAAGCAAUUACAUUUCCAAGUAUGAUGUUAAUAACGCAAACUGUGUUUAAUAGUCAGAAACAGUGAAACAGCAGAUGGGCUUUAAUUAAAGCUUCUCAUCACUCUUCUAAAUCGCCUUCUCUACACACGAGCAGCUGCUUCACGGCACCCGUGGAAAGAUAAUGUUUCCAUUCCAAACUUUCUUGCACGAAACGUAAAAUCUCACCCAACAGCGAUUCUAAAAUCGUAGGCUUUUCUACGUGAUUUACAACUGUUGGACGGUGUAUCAUCGUUUGCUUAUUUGGAAAGUUCUUGCAUGCUUUAUUUGUGUCUGCUUUCAUUAGGUAUGUUAUACCUAUAAAGUCUUAAAAAUAACAUUCAAUGUAAAGUACUUAAAAGAAAGAGAUGAAUAUUAGUUCAAAUAAAAAUAUUUUCACUUUAA